rnacentral:rRNA from 1 species
UGUAAAAUUUUCAUAGUCGAACAGACUAAAUUUAUAAACGCCUACAUUUAUAAUUUAUUUUAAUUCAACAUCGAGGUCGCAAACAAUUUUUUCAAUUUGAUCUUUCCAAAAAUAUUACGCUGUUGUCCCUAAGGUAAUUUAUUCUUUUAUUAUAUUAUAAUAAUAUAUUUCAAUUAAAUUUUUCUAUAAAUCAAUAUUUUUAAAAUUUUAAAGUUAAUUAAAUAUAAAAAUCCUCCCAACCAAAUAUAUUAUUAAAAUUUAUAAAAUUUAUAAUAUAUAAAAUUCUAUAGGGUCUUAUCGUCCCUUAAAUUAAAUUAAGCAUUUUGACUCAAAAUUUAAAUUUAUUUUAUAUAAUUGAGACAGUUUAUAUUUCAUUAAUUCAUUCAUUCCAGCCUUCAAUUAAAAGACAAAUGAUUAUGCUACCUUUGUACAGUUAAAAUACUGCAGCUAUUUAAUUUCUCAUUGAGCAGAACUGACUUUAUAUUAAAAUCAAAAAGAC